rnacentral:misc_RNA from 1 species
AAGUCGUAACAAGGUUUCCGUAGGUGAACCUGCGGAAGGAUCAUUACCGAGUUCAUGCCCUCACGGGUAGAUCUCCCACCCUUUGUAUACCUUACCUUUGUUGCUUUGGCGGGCCGCCUAGCUACUGGCUUCGGCUGGUAAGUGCCCGCCGGAGAACCCCAAACCCAAACCAUUUUAUAGUGUCGUCUGAGUAAAAUUUUUAAUAUUUAAAA